AGCAGCCGCGGUAAUUCCAGCUCCAAUAGCGUAUAUUAAAGUUGUUGCAGUUAAAAAGCUCGUAGUUGAAUUUCGGGGUUAGUAGGUUGGUCGUGCCACUGGUAUGUACUGGCUCUACUGAUCCCUCCUUCUUGUAGAACCGUAAUGCCAUUAACUUGGUGUUGCGGGGAAACAGGACUGUUACUUUGAAAAAAUUAGAGUGUUUAAAGCAGGCUAACGCUUGAAUACAUUAGCAUGGAAUAAUGAAAUAGGACGCUCGAUCCUAUUUUGUUGGUUUCUAGGAUUGACGUAAUGAUUAAUAGGGAUAGUUGGGGGCAUUAGUAUUCAAUUGUCAGAGGUGAAAUUCUUGGAUUUAUUGAAGACUAACUACUGCGAAAGCAUUUGCCAAGGAUGUUUUCAUUAAUCAAGAACGAAAGUUAGGGGAUCGAAGACGAUCAGAUACCGUCGUAGUCUUAACCAUAAACUAUGCCGACUAGGGAUCGGAUGAUGUUAAUUUUUAAUGACUCAUUCGGCGCCUUAC
rnacentral:rRNA from 1 species